UUAAAGGUGAAAGUAAGAGUGAAGGCAUUGGAAAAGCUGUUAUUUCAGGUCUUAAAUAAUAAUGACAGCUGUUUAUUAUAUCCUACUACAUUCAGUCAAGGUUCUAUGAUAUCAAAAAGGUCUUGCACGAAACAAAAAUAUGAAAGGAGUGGGAGAAGGCAGCAAAGCUAACAGUAGACCAAUUUAAGAUUGGUAUCUUUUUGUUAAUGGUCACAAGCAUAAAUGACUCACUGCAGAGAUGACAGAGGAUUUAUAUAUUGCAAGUACAGUCAUGCUAGGUGUGAAGAUAUGCACUACAAAUGGAGAAAAGCACUUUAAACACAGAUCUCUGUUUGAAGCUGUUUUCUUCUUGGAAAGUGACUGGGAAAGCUAAUAUGAUUAUAGUGGUAUCAGCAAAGAUGGAUUAAGAGACUGAGCAAGCCCAGUUCCUUCAGUCUAUUUUCAUAGCAGAGAUGCUGAAGUCCUCUGAUCAUCUUCAUGGCCCUCCUCUGGACCCUCUCCAAAAGCUCCACAUCUUUCAAGACUUCUUGGCUAGCAACUGAAGAAAUAGCAUUUCUAUUCCAAAUUUUAUUAAAUUUCUUCAAUCACAGUGAGCAUGUAUUAAAAACUAAGUAAAUAACAUUUUUGUGCUAAAAUAACUGAAAGUUGAUAACUGUAUAGUAGCCUGGUUCUGGCAGCUUGCAAUCUUUGUUCUUUUCAUUGACAAGCAAUCACAGCUACAUUUGAUCUCAUGCUUCAGUUGGUAUAACACAAAAAGUUAUUUGUGAAAAAACAUAGCAACAUCCUCUUAUUUAAGCCCAAUCUGCUGCACCAGCUCUGCUCAGCGUUCACCUCGUUGUUAGUUCUUUUGUAAAAAAGAUGAUCUUUUAAAACAGGGUAUCUGUCAAAAUAAGAAGUCUUCCAGCUGGGGACCAGACGAGAAACUGAUUUCAUACACAAUGUAAAAUACCUACAUAUGAAUUACACACAUAGAAUAAAAAUUUGACACUAUGUGAAAUGCUGAAGUAGUGUCUGUAUAUGAAGAACAGUAAAUUACAAAAGAUGUUUAAAUGUUUAUUUCAGAAUGCCACUAAACCACAAACUCAUUUCUGAACUUCCACCUAACUAUUGGCUUUCACUGAGAAAACAAAAAGAGUGAAUAAGAACACAUUCCUUAUCAGUAAAGGACAUAUUUGAAAUGCCUGCAAAAUACUAGUAGGAUUAGGAAACUUGGGAAUGGGGCCGAGGCCACUAUUAGGCAGGAUGAGGAACUCCUUGGUGUAGAGCAGGGUGGGUUGAGCAGAGAGAAUGGAGAGCAGCCUCUUGUGUGGAUAGAUAAUGAUUUCUGGGAGCAUGAAGAAAUGGAUCUGAUUUUACUGAACCAUACAAACCUUCCUCUAGUAAAACUUCAUAUAAAUAUAUGAUGUAUGUUUGCACCUGGUCAGAAAUCUAAGUAAUCCUAGAUAGCUCUGCUUGGAAAAUAUAAAUUCACUGGGCUUAAAAAGUAAUUUGGAAAAUGUUUUCCUUCUGAGUUGGGGUAAAAAGUAAAAUAAACAAUCCUCCCUCCCAGCCCUAAACAUUACGUUUAGUUAUUCACUUCAACAGAAAGAGCCUUCUGAAAAAUCUGUUCACAGAGAGUUUUGGCUUACUAGUUGUCUCCCUUCCCAGAAAGUACAGCUUAGUUUUCUUUUCCAUAAAAGAAAUUAUUAGUCUUCAUCUGGGGUUACAAAGAAGCUAAAUGAGUAGUCUUUUUUGUCCUGCUUUUUUUUUUUGUUGAUGCCCAAUUAGGAUGGUUUGUCAUCUUUGAGUCUUUCCCCAAAGGCUGAAAUGCUGCAAGAUAUAAUAUGUAUUUGUACCUCUCUUCUCUGUAAAAAAAAAAAAGUAUAGAACUGAAAAUAACCACUGGAAAAUUCAGUUCAAUGGAAAUGACACUUUCAGUUUAAAUGAAAACAACCUUGAUGAAAAAUUGUUGGCUAGCUCACACUUCAAGUCUUCUCCAAACAUGUCACCUACUCUUUAGAUAUUUACCACUAACAUCACAUGCCUCAGAAGGAGGAAAGCUGACUUCUCUGUAAAGUUCUCAUUUUACAUUAAACUAUAUAUUGAAAUGCUGCCAUAUCCCUUGACUCAUUGGCAUGGUGAUGAUUCAAGAGCAGUAAGUUAUCAUAACAAUAACGUGGUAGCAACUUUCUGUGACAUUUGCCAGUUUAUCAUUGAAUACAUCAGGAGGGACAUGAUGCCUGUGUUAUUUUUCGUAAUUAUUUUUGAAUUGCAUUUGAUGCUUCACUCAUUAGGAUCUGAGAAUCCUGAGAUCACACAUUAAGAGGUUUCAAAGUUUUAUUAGGAAUUUUAAAAUAUCAAGUAUUUUGACCUUCUUGCAUUUCUCAACAAAAUCUUUCUCCAUACACUGCAGUGAAGGUUUCAGAAUAUUUUCCUUUCAAAACCUUUCAUAGAUUCAUACUUUCAUUGUCAUUCAAAAUAGUAUGUAUUAUUACCAUUCUAUCCAUAUGUGCACCAAAACUUUUCCUGAAAAAUACAGAAGGCCAUAGAUGCUCAUUUAAACAGAGCUUUAUGAGUUAGACUUCAGUUCAGAUAUGAGAUAAUCAUUGUUAAUAUCAACAAUUUAAUAUCAAUAUUGGAGAUGGCCAUCACCUAUACAGCAACUAGUUUCUUUGCUAGAGUACUGGAUGAAAAAACUAUCUUACCCCCUCUUCAUAACACAUAAAAAGUUUCUGCAAAAGACAAUAUUUGAAUGAGGAUAAAAAAUUCCCCAUUUAAAAUGUCAAAGAGUGUAUAUGAUAUUUUUCUCUCUUCUCUGUACCUUUUCUCUUACUGAGUUUAUCAGUAAGAAAAAAAGUGAAUUUUUAUAGGGAAAAUAUUCAGUCAAAAAGCAAUCUGUUCUCUUUUUGCUAGAGAUAAUGAAGGACAGAACUCAAAGUCAGACAAUGCACAAACAUGAAACUGGACUAAAAUGAAGAUUGGAAAAAAAUCAAGACAAGAAUUAUCAACUAAAAGAGGCCACUUCAUGGAAGUAUAGUAGAGGUUCACUCUCCGUUUUGAGAAUGGAGAUUUAGAAGGGUAAAACAUGAAGACAAACAGGCACAUAGGAACCAAUAAUAUGAUUUGUGAUUAAAGGAGGCUACUCCUCAAAAUGAAAUCAGUAACUGGGCAGAGACACAACUGAGCAUAAUGCCAGUGAUGAACUACAUCAAAGAGAGGAGCAGAGUCUCAGAAGUGCAGAAGAGUUUUGCUGUGUGUUAAUUUUUUUUAUUUUUUUAUUUUUUUUGUCCUGGAAUGACAGAGCUUUCCUUGCUUUGAGCAAAAGAAUUGUUACCAUGAAUCAUCAGCAUAUCACUAAUCAACUGUGAAAGAGAAAGAUGGAAAACUGAGACAGAUGACCCAAUACUGAAAUGAUAAACAGUCCACGCUAAACUUUCACUGCAGUAGUCUCUUCAUUCUUCAAAGUUGACUGUCUUCCUCAGUUUUGCACUUGUGAGGAGUUGGUAAUGAUAUUUUAGCCUUCAAUGUCACUUUGUGAAUAUAGCAUAACUUUGGGGAACAACAGUUCCAUAUUUUCAGUGUCUUGUCUCUCUCAUUAGGAAAUCAGAAAAUGUUCUUGUCAAUGUCUCAGGAAGAUGAUUAUGCAAUAAAAGGAAUGUAUUUAUCAAUCACAGGCAUAAACAGAUAAAUGGAGAAGAUUUUUCUUUUUUUGCUUACAAAAAAUAACACAUCUGUUAAUAUACUGUGUCUGGAAAAAUGCAUGUGUCAUCCUAUGUUUUUUU